AUUAAAUGAAAACAGCCAAGUGUUCAAGUAAUUGGAAACAGCUAUUCCCUGACCUUAAAUAUAUAUAAACUGUAGAUUAAAGAUAUCAACCUCAUAUAACACUCGAGAUUGAACUUACCAGUAAACAGAGAGUAGGCUUCCCCUAACAUACCUAUAUCUUGACAGUUCAGAAAAUUAAAGCUUCACUUUUUCACAUUGUCCUAAUCAAAUUUCCACAUCAACCAUUAAUAAUUCGGAAAAUUUUGAAUUAAACCCAAGAUACCACAAGAAGGUUAUUCAAAGAAUCAAAUUCAUGCAAACUAAUACGAUAUAAACCGAAGUCAUUAACCAAUGGCUUAAAAAGGAAAGUGGGCUCAAUUUGUUAGUUACUAUCUCACAAACACAAACACUCUAACUAAAAACAGGGCAAGAAAGAUAUUAACUAAAAAGAGUUAUAUAUGGAUAGAAAGAGUACUACAUAUCCCAAGGACAGAUCGAUUAAACUAAUUAUUGUAGAGUUUCACAGGGAAUUAUUUAAUUAAAGUCAUUCAUAUGCGCCGAUUUACUGAUGGGUCAGGUUUCACAGUACUUAUAAUCCAGCCAAUCAGAGAUUUUUCUUUUGCAGCACAUCAGACUAGAAAGCAGUUUUUUAUACACGAGACCAUUAGGCUAUCUGGACUGUCACAUUAAAAUAGUUAAACUAUUUUAAACCAACCAAAAGCAUAAAUUACAGACAAAUCACUUUCUGAAUCCUUAAAAGACGGAAAACACAUUCAAUUGAAUACAUAGAUGAUGUUAGACUACUAUGGAAUUUCUGUACCUGAAUUUACUCCCUAAAACGAAAAUAUUUACCACAUAUCCAAAGUUCUAUUAAGAAUAAACUAUCCCCUAGAAUACUAGGGAGCCCCAAAUUCAUUAAAAUAUAUGUAUGUAUCUAAAUAGGAAAAGAAUGUAAGAUGAAUGAUUUAAUCAAUGGUUAAGGUAGAAAAUUGAGAAAAAAAAGACUUAGUGCUAUUAAACUACACUGUGGCCCAUGGGUUAUUGAAUUAAAUGUGAAUUUCCGUUUUAAUCUUUAAACAAUGAAAAAUGACAAUUUAGUCAUCCAACUAUUUGAGAUUAUAUAUUUUGUUCACCCGAUGAAUUAAAUAAUAUGAAUUAAAAUACUACAUAAACUAUUUCAUUUUAUAUUAAUUGUAUAAUAUAAAUUAAAUAUUAUUAUAACUGGUAUAUAUAUCAUCUCUAUUUGCUUUUAAUUCUAAAAUAUUUAACCCUUAACAUUUAUACACUAUGACAACAUUAAAAAAAGAAAAUCAAACAGCACUUGUAUAAGGUAAUAAUUAUCAAACGAUAGGUCAAAGACAAUUUUUAAAUUCUGUAAGCUAACCCAAAACAAAAAAAUUCAAAAGAAAAAGAACAAUUAUUCAGAACAGAAUGCAUUGAGAAAUCAACUAAGACAAUAAAUGAAGAAGAAAUUAGUUAUGACAUCAUUAGAGAAUAUAUCCAACGCAUCUUUUUUACAGUCUCAUAAAAACCAUCAACCAAUAAGCAAAAUCAAAAUUAUGUUAAUCUAAGGGUUGCGACUAGAACCUAUUCACUUAAAAGAUUACAACUCAAUUUCCCUUCAUGUAAGGCUAGGUAACACAGAUGAAUAUAAUUCUAUCUUUAACCAAAACCCGAGUAUUUCGCCACAUGGAUAUAUCAAUAAUCACACAAAACUUCCCAUUCAGCUGAUAUACAGAGAUACCAUGGGUUUACCUAAAACUUCCAAUCAAAAUCCAUUGGCAAAUCAUACCCAACAGAACACGAACAAUCCCAACUAUUUUAAAGAAAAUAUACCCAAUCCUUACUAAUGAAUGCAAGCACCUAGCAGUAUGAAAAAGAAAACAUACAUGCAUACACAAUCUUGACAUCCUCCACCGUAUAUGAACCCAAAUCGAAAAAAACCUUCGCAAUUAGCAAAUCGGUUGAAAUGGCUGGCUAGUGACUAUGUCUUGGAUGGAGAGAUCCUAUACAAGAGAAGGAAGGAUCAGGUACUCUUAAGAUGUGUAGACGCUGUCGAGGCUAAGAAAGUUCUGGAAGAGGUUCAUAAAGGUGUCUGCGGAACACAUGCUAAUGGCUUCACCAUGGCCAGACAAAUCAUGUGAUUCGGAUAUUAUUGGUCCACUAUGGAAGGAGAUUGUAUCAACUAUGCCAAGAAGUGCCAUAAAUGCCAAAUUUAUGGGGAUAAAAUUCAUGUACCUCCUUCACCCCUUCAUGUCAUGACUUCUCUAUGGCCUUUCUCAAUGUGAGGCAUAGAUGUCAUCGGGCCAAUCUCACCGAAAGCGUCUAAUGGACAUCGAUUCAUCUUUGUCGUUAUAGAUUAUUUCACCAAAUGGGUAGAGGCCACAUCUUAUGCUAACAUCACAAAGUCAGCAGUCAGUAGAUUCUUAAAGAAAAAAAUCAUAUGUCGAUAUGGGAUGCCUGAAAGGAUCAUAUCAGAUAAUGCACUGAACUUGAACAACAGCAUGAUAGCGGAAGUCUGCAGCCAAUUCAAGAUCAAACAUCAUAACUCGUCACCUUAUCGCCUAAAGAUGAAUGGUGCAGUGGAAGCAGCCAAUAAGAACAUCAAGAAGAUCAUAGGAAAAAUGACUGAGACCUAUAAAGAUUGGCACGAGAAAUUACUAUUCGCCCUAUAUGCCUACCGGACGUCAGUCAGAACCUCUACCGGGGCAACACCUUUUUCUUUAGUUUAUGGAAUGGAAGUAGUUCUGCCUAUUAAGGUCGAGAUUCCCUCUCUACGCGUGCUUUCAGAACUAAAAUUAGAUGAAGCAGAAUGGAUCCAGUCUCGAUACGACCAGUUGAAUUUGAUUGAAGAAAAGAGGCUAAAGGCUAUCCGUCAUGGUCAAAUGUAUCAAAAGAGAAUGAUGCGGGCUUAUAAUAAGAAGGUUCGCCCUAGAGAAUUCCAUGAAGGAGACCUCGUGUUGAAAAAGAUCCUCCUCAUACAAAAGGAUUUCUGAGGGAAAUGGAUGCCAAAUUGAGAGGGACCUUAUGUGGUAAAGAAGGCUUUCUCUGGAGGGGCUCUGAUUUUAACCGAGAUGGAUGGUAAAAGUCUGCCUAAUCCUGUAAAUUCGGAUUUAGUCAAGAGGUAUUUUACCUAUAAAAAAACCCAGAUAGGCCAAGGUGAAAACCUGUGAAAGGGCGCUUUGAGACCAAAGGGGUUUGAAUUGAAAACCUAGGAAUGGGCAAUUCAAAUUUUGAUCAAACAUGAGGCAUGCAGCAGUUUUGUCUUCUCUGAAUUAACAGGAAGGAGGGGGGCUACAUAUUGGGGCAUCAACAAAGUGCUCUUGGUCUCCUAAACACAUACAGAGUUCAAAGGGUCCUUGAGAAGUUUGUGCAACGAAGCUUAUACUGCGAUAUCUGGGGCACCCAUUCUUAUCUUAUUCAUUUUGUUUAGCAGAAUAUGCUACCUUGAUUAAUUCAUAGGUUCUCAUUUUGUAUAUUAGCAAAUAUGCUAUCUUGAUUACCUUGUUCAUCUUGAGCUUCGCUCUCAAUAAAAUUCCAUCUUGCCUAUUGCGAUAAUCUUUUUCAAGCGUCUUUCAUUAAAAUGAUGAUUAAUGGACUAAUAAUAUUCAAAAAGAGUUCUGCAUAUAACUUUGAAAUUCUUCUAAAUGAUACAAGGACCUGACACGGAACUAAUUAGUUCGAAUUACCCUACAUUCAAAGGUUGGAAACGUUGGGAAAAUAAUAGCCCAAAUUGUGAUUAUUCUUCGGGUUUUUUGCCAGAGGUACCAGUCAAAGAAAAGCAGAGUAAUACGUCGAUGAUAAAAUCUCGAUGAACAACGAGUAAUAUCAAAAAAAAGAAAAAGAAUGGGACAUUUUGCAUUCAUACAAACAACAUUCAUACACAUCUAGUUAGGAGCAUUUGAUUUAUUCUGAUCAUGACAUCCUAACCAUUUGGCAUAAAUAGGUCCAUAAAACGAAUUCAGCAGGUCAUGUUCUCGAAAGAAUGGUGUAACAGAUCGAAGAGAUUAUAAUCCUACACCCCUGAAGACGCAGUGGGACUGAUUGAAAAAGGCGACGAAUCUUGCCUUCCUGAAGUUACAGUGAAGCAAAUUCAAGCCACAAAGCCUCAACCCUCUAAGCAGUAGGGUAACAGGCUGAAGAUUUACAGAUCUUAGCCCCCUAAACAGUACAGAUCGAAGAUGAUGGGCUUUAACCCCCUAAGCAGUAGGGUAACAAGCCAAAUUUACAAGCCUUAACCCUCUAAGCAGUAGGGUAAUAGGUUGAAAAUUACAGAUCUUGCCUCUCUGAAGUUGCAAUGGAGCAUAUCAGAGACGACGAACCUCGCCUUCCUGAAGUUGCAGUGAAGCAGAUUCAAGCCACCAAGCCUUAACCCCCUAAGCAGUAGGGUAAUAGGCUAAAAAUUACAGAUCUUGCCUCUCUGGAAUUGUAGUGGAGCAGAUCAAAUUAGCGAAUCUUAUCUCUCUGAAGUUGCAGUAGAGCAGAUUAAAGCUAUAAAUCCUAUACCUCUGAAGUUGCAGUAGGGUUGGAUUAAAUAUACCAUGACAAAUCUUAUCUCUCUGAAGUUGCAAAGCCAUUACCAUCUCACUGAAAUUGUAGUGGAACGGGUUGAAGUCGCGAACCUCAUCUCCCUGAAGAUGCAGUGGAGCAGGUUGAAAUUAUCAAGUCUUAGUCUGUAACACCCCUUACCCGUAUUCCUUACCGGAACAGAGUAUGAGGUAUUACUAAAUUUUUAAAAAUUUUCGACAGCAUUCCUACUUAUUUUUGCUUAAACCUCCUGCAAAUUUAGAACACAUUCCAAUAUACCAACCAAUUUCAUUUGUAUAAACACACAUAUAGUUUAACUAUUAAUAAACACUACAUUUAAAAGGGAACCAUAACAUAUAUUUACAUGAUGAUCCCACAUUACAUAAAGUGUCUAUACAUGCCAUAAAAUUUCGGAACACUAGUAGUAAAAUACCCCAAAUGUGAAGGAUAGUGUAGAUGAUUGUCUGACUUCGUUCCAAUUUCCGAGUUGUUGGAAGUCACUAUAACCAAGAGAAAAAUAAAAUCGAGUAAGCAUAUAGCUUAGUAAGUAAACACAUGAUAAAUAAGUAAUUACUCCCAUAACUACACCAAAAUAUAAACUUAUUCAUGAAUAACUUUAUUGUUUAGGCAAUUUCCAGCAAGCUGUUUUUCUGCAUCAUAGUCGCUAAUUUAUUUUUAUCUGGAGCUACAGAGCUCCAAAUUGAUUUCCGUAAAUUUUCCCUGAAACUAGACUCAUAUACCAUUUCACCAUAAAAAUUUCAAAAUUUUUAACCCAGCAAAUUAGUACAGUUUAUUCAUUAAACCUUCCCCUGUUUCACUGCCCAACGGUUCUGACCCUUCCUCACUAAAAUUUACUUAACUCUCUGUACAAAAUUUGAAAAAUGGGUUUUCUUGUUUCUAAUAAAAAUAGACUCAAUAAGGAUUCCAGGGAUAUAAAUUUCAUGCCAUAAUUAUUUUUUUUCAAUUUUUGGUAAUUUUCCAAAGUUAGAACAGGGGAUCUCGAAAUCAAUCCAGCCCUGUUUCAGUAAAAUUCAGAUAUCUCCAAAAAUACAACUCUUUUGCUUAUUCUAUUUCUUUCAUAUGAAAAUAGACACAUUCAGCUUCAAUUUCAUAUAUUAUUCAGCUUCCCAUUCAUUUUCCACCAUUUAUGGUGAUUUUUCAAAGUUACCCAACUGCUGUUGUUCAACACAGUUUAUAAUUAAAUCGUUCCUUUUGCGUUUUUGAUAUUUUCUCCCAUCUCAUACAUGGGUCGAUUUAGUAUUCAACUCAAUAUUUACCCCAUAAAAUUUUCCACCAUAUGGAAAUAUUCAUCUUCCACACUUUUUCGUUGAACACUUGGAAUGUUAACCGUUAUUGGUGGAUCUCGCACUUAGCACCACCGCUGAAUCGGGGAAUCAGCACUUAGCAACCCCUCGGGGGAAUCAGCACAUAGCAACCCCCUUUCACAUUUCAAAGAUAUGGUGGAUAUCGCACUUAGCACCACCAAUGAACCGGGGAAUCAGCACUUAGCAACCCCUCGGGGGAAUCAGCACAUAGCAACCCCCUUUUCACAUUUCAAAGAUAUGGUGGAUCACGCACAUAGCACCACCAAUGAAUCGGGGAAUCAGCACACAGCAACCCCUUUAUAUACAACAUACUCCGGCUUAUUCCGAGUGUUCAACCCAUAAACCAUAUAUUGCAACCCUUUACCACAUUUCCCGAUUUAACAACAUUUUUAGGAUAUGGCCAAACGUUUAUUUUAAUUCCAAAUAAAUCUCAACAUAUAUCAAAUAAUGUCAAAAUAAUACAUUAAGUCACGUGUUUACUUACCUCGGUGCAAAAUAUCGUAAUUUUGCACUUUACUCCCCUAUCUUUUCUUUUCCCCGUUUGAUAUACUCUUCAUGUCUUUCUUGAUCUAUAAUAGCAAAUUUAACUCGUUUAAUAUUCACAUUUAUUAAAAUAAUCCACCACCCAACUUUUUUUGAAAAUUACAAUUUUGCCCCCAAACUUUUGCAUAAUUACACUUUUGUCCCCAAGCUCGGAAAUUAAACUUCAUCACUUAUUCUUAAGUUUUAUAACAUGCUGAACAUUUUUCCCUUCUAUGGAAACAUCAAAUUCCCACUCCAACACAUACUUUUGAAUAUUAAUUAUUUUUACCGAUUAUGUCUAUUUACCCGUUUUCGCUUAAAAUUACUUAGCAAAAGUUGUUUAAUAUAAUCUCUAGCUUCAUAUUCCACCAUAAAACAGCAAAAUAAACACAUUUCACCUAUGGAUAUUUUUCCAAAUAUGAACCCUAACAUGAAUUAAUGGUAGAAUAAGCUAAACCAAGUUACCGGGACUCCAAAAAUACGAAGAACAUUAAAAACGGGGCUUAGAAUCACUUACUAUGGAGCUUGAAAGCUUAAAAACCCUAAAUAUGGCUUCUCCCUUGCUGAUUUCGUUCACCAUGAAGAAGAUGAGCAUAUUUUGCCAUCUUUUUCCCAUUUAAUUCUAUUUAAUAACCAAAUGACUAAAAUGCCCCCAUUUAAAAAAAAUCUAUUUCACCCAUUUCUUAUGUCUAUUUUUGUCCAUCAACUAACUAAUGGUCUAAUUACCACAUAAAGACCUCCAAUUUAAAAUUUCAUAACAAUUAGACACCUCUAAGAUGUAGAACUUAACUUCUGCACUAUUUACAAUUUAGUCCUUUUGACUAAAUUGAGUGCCCAAACGUCAAAAUUUUCGAACGAAAUUUUUACGAAAAUUUUCGAACGAAAUUUUUACGAAAAUUUUCCGUGAAAUUGUAGAUCAUAAAAAUAUAAUAAUAACCAUAUUUUCCCUCGUCGGAUUUGUGGUCCCGAAACCACUAUUCCGACUAGGCCCAGAAUCGGGCUGUUACAUAGUCCUUUGAAGUUCCAGCGGAGUUGAUCGAAGCUACAAGUCUCCUCUCCCUGAAAUUACAUUGGAGCAAACCAAAGAAUUAAUUCCAAUACCCCUGAAGAUGUAGUGGGAUGGAGCGAGGUUACUCGAAGAAAAGAAGCACCAAGAAGCCAAGAUCCAGUUAGACAAGGCAAAAUUGGCUAUUUUAAGGUCUUUGCUCCAUUCUCAUUACACGAGAAUGAGCAAAGAGGGGCAGCUGUUAUAGCCAAUUUUGGCCUGGCCAACAAAAUAAUAAAACCCAAAUUAAAAGUCCAAAAUAAAUGGCCCAUUACAGAUUAAAACAAAAAACAAAUCAAAACCCUAUUAGCCCAUUACCUAAACUAACCCUAAUAGCCCACUACAUUUAUUUUUUUCAGUAGCCACGCGUGCUGCCGAACCCUUGGCCUCCCCUCAAGCCAACCACCAGCCUUUCACUUCUAACAUCUGCAAUCAAAUCAGAUGCAACAACAGAGAGCAUGCAAAAGAAAAUAAUGAACAAAAGAACAAAAAAGGGGAAGUGAACGGUUGGUAAAUUGGCUUUAAAAGCCGAAAUCUAUGCUUUGUAAACAACUACAGACAUUUACCAAACGAAAUUAAUCAAAAGAAUAGACGAUUUCAAAAGGUGAUUAUUGUUGAGUUUCGAUUUUCAUUCUUUUCCACAUAGAUUUGCUUUCUUCUUUAUUUCUUUUUCAUUUUUUACACACGAAACAGUAAUAAAAUACGAAUAAUAAAAAAGGAAACUUACGGUUUACUGCUUGGGGCGUGCUCCGACUUUCCCUCGCCGAUCUGAAGGUCGCCGAACCUUUGGGGUUUGGCCAUUGGCCAUGGCGGAUUGAGAGGAACCAAAAGGCUCCUCCUCUCUUUAUGGUGCCGCAAGUUGGGGAGAUUCCAUCCUCGAACUCGUUCAAAGAGGGUCGGAGAAUCCCACAUCGCACAAUACUGGUCACAGAUUCGUGGCAUGGGCGUGGAGGACCGCCGAGGAGUUCAUGGUCGGCCAUGGAUGAGGCAAAAAUGGGGGGUUUAAAACCUUAGCAGAGGAAUUGAAAUGGGGGGUGUUUAAAAGUUUUUUUUUUGAACACCAGUAGAAGAAUGAAUUUUAAAAAAAAAUUAACUUAAAUAAAAGAAGCAAAUGGCACCGUUUAGAAAGGGGAGGGGUCCGCAUGUCUCCCUUGAAUGGGAAAUUACCCACUUUGGCCCUCCCCCUUUUCUGACCCUUGAUUUGAUCCUAAUUUGCGUUUUUUUUAUCCUUUCUAAUAGCGCCCAAUUAUUUUAUUUCAUUACUGAUUUGGUCCUUGACCUAGACAAAUUAAACGUUGCGCAUAAGGGGUUGGGGAAAAUUUUCCAACCAGUCCCUUGAGGUUUCGGCACGUUUUAAAUAAGUCUAUUACCCUUUUUUUUUCUUUCUGAAUUCUCUCUUUAAUUUUAUUUAGAUUUUAAUUUAGUCCUUUUAAUAUUUGCAUUUAUUUUAUUCGAAUUUGGACCCUUAAUCUUUGUUUUAUUUGUAAUUUCACCCUUUUUUUCAUGACAAUCUAGACAUUUCGUUUAUUUAUUUAUCUUAAACUAUUUCCAUUUACCUUAAAUUUUAUAUAUUAUACUGUUUUAAAUUGUCUUAGAUAUAUAUUAUUUUAAAUUAUUUCAUAUACUUUAAAUUGCUUUAUCCAUUGUUUAUUUUAAAUUCGUUAAAUGUAUUAUUCAUCCUAAAUUGUUUUAUUAUGUAUUCUAAAAUAUUCUUUUUUUGUAUAUUAUUACUUCCAAAUUUCUAUAUGUGUUAACCAUUUUCAUAUAUACCCUUUUUUAAAUGUUUUGUAUGUUACUUAUUUUAAAUUUCUAUCUACAUAAUAUUCAUUUUUGACUUAUUUUUAUCAUAAACUAUAUUAUAUAUUAUCUAUUUUAUACUGUUUUGGUUUUACAUAUCAUUUUGAAUUAUUAUAUACAUGUUAAUUAUUUUACAUUGCUUUUCGUUUAUUUAUUUUAAACCUUUUUAUAUAUCAUUUUUGAAUUACUUAUUAUUUUAAAUUUAUAUAACGUUUAUCCUUAAACUGCCUUAUUGUAUAGGGCAUUUAUUUUCAAAUUUUCAUAUGUUUUUAUCUUAAACCCUUUGCUCGUUGUCUAUUUUUUUAUGCAUAUAUUUAUGUAAGUUUUUAUACUAUGUAUAUUAUUUAUUUUGAACUUCUUUUUACGUAUUAUGAUUUUAAACUUUUCAUUAAUGAUUUUAGAUUUUUUUUUAUUAUUUACUUUAAGCUGCCUUUAUAGUAUUUAUUUUAAAAUCCUUUAUGUAUAUAUUUUAUAUUUAAGAUUAUCUAUUUGUUUGAUUCAAAUCAUUUUAUAUUAUCACCUCAUUUCUGUGUUUAUUAAGCUUGUUAUUUAAUUGACAUAUGUUAUGUUAUUGCCAUUGUGUGUGUUAUAAUUCGUUUAUUUGUAUUUCCUCUAUUGUCAUUUGCUCGCGUAAUACUUUAUUCAUGUAUCAUCACUCUAUGUCGCAUCAUAUUUUUAUUUUUUAUUAUCGCCUUAUCAAUUAAAUUUCAUUACAUUUAUCCAAUAAAUCGCUUCGUUUUAACCUAAACAAAUAACGUACAUCGUUUAAAUACUACCUUUGCUACUAUUCAAAAACUAGAAUUUCAAAAUAAAGUAAUGUUUCGCAUUUUGGAACAUCCGGGAAUUGUGCCCUAACUUACGGGGUUUCAAUUUUCUCAUUGUUUCUAAAUAACAAAUAUCCUUUUCGAGUUAAAACACAUGGAUUUCUAGUUAAAAUAAAAGAUGACCUUCCGCUCGAGAAUUCAUGGUAUUGUGUCCUAACUUACGGAAUGUGAUACCCCGAUAUCUCGAGAUAAGGAAAUCUUUAACAAUCAUUUUGAGCUAAUUCAAGAAUUUUAAAAUCGAUAUUAAUAAAAAAUUGUAUUUAAAAAUCCAUUCCCGAUUUUUAGCUUUCGACAUUAAGACAUUAACUAAUCAAUUCGGUACCAAUUUUUGGGUGUGUCGAGGGUGCUAAUCCUUCCUCGCACGUAACCGACACCCGAACCUAUUCUCUUGGAUUUCGUAGACCAAAAUGUCGUUCUAGUAAACUAAAAUUGUUUUAUUAAAACAAAGGUGACCUGAUCACACCAAAUCAAGAUCGGUGGCGGCUCUCGUUUUAAAUUUCGUCUUCAAAAUCAAGUCGAUCCCGUUUUCAAAAAAUGGUUUCUACAGAGAUGACCGAGGGAUCUUUCGGUGGAGGGAUGGGUACAGAAGAAACGGAGACAACAUAACCACAAGCAAAUUGUUGACGAAAACAACGGAAUGGUGUUAAAUAAAAUGAUCCGUUUAUUUUGCAAGCAAUUUGCUUUUGCAUGUAUAUGGGGGAGAGAAGGGGGCUUAUCAGUUACAUUGGAUUACUUGAAGAGAUGAAAUUAAGUUAAAUCUUGUUUUUAAUAUCGAAAAAAGAGAGUUAAAACUUGUUUUUAGCACAGGCUAUUAGUGCAAAUUUAAAUUCACAAUUAGAUAAAAAAAAUAUGGGUAAUUGAAGUCAAACUCUCAACUCUUGUGGAGUAUAAAAAAUAUAAUUGGUGGUAUUUCAGAUAUAUUUUUAAAAAAUAUUAAAUAAAAUUGAGUUUAAAUAAUUUAUCAAGUUGAAUUCAUCUAAUUUAAUUUCCUAUGCUUUAAAAUGGCAUAAUGUCAAGUUUAGUUCUCAAAGUUUACAUUUUUAGUUAAUUUGACUCUUUUUUUAGUUAAAUUUAACUUUCAAUUUUUUAAAAAGAGUCUAAUUUGACUACCAUCCUUUCAAAAAGAGUCGAAUUGUUGUUUUUUAAAGAAAAUACUAACUAAAAUGUAAAAUUUUUAAAUAUGACAAACUGCAUGACAACUCAUAUAUAUUUCAUGCUAUUUUUUUCAACUUUUUAUAUAUUUUUUUAAUUUUGAAAUUUCUCAUUUUUUUAAAAAUAUUUUUGUAAUUUUUAAAUUAUUUGUUCAAAUAACGUAUAAGACAACUAGUGUUAUGUUAGUAUAAAGUACAUGUAGGCUGUCACAUAAGUUGUUACGUCAACAUCGUUAAAAAUUAAUAUUUUAGUUAGUAUUAUGUGAAAAAAAUCAUUGACUUUUUUUUUUUGAAGUGUUAAUAAUCUCCGCUUUGGAGAAUUUUGUGGUAGGGAAGUGCCCUACAGAGUUAAAUAACGAUAUGUGCGUAGGGCAACAAAGAAGGUAAGGAAGAGGAUGGAUCCUUCGCCAGACAUGGAUGAUCCAACAGUGGAUGAAAAUGGUCAGAAGAUUGAAGAUGUGGGAGUGGAUAAAUGUCGUAUAAAUCUAUGUUGAUAAGCACUUCCCUGAAUGCCUAUUCACCGGAGAAGUUGGAGGAGGAGUUUGUACUUCAUGAUGGAGAUGUAGUCACGAAGUUAGUAGAAGGAGUACUGUCGAUUACCUUUUCUGAUCGGGUUCAUAAGUUCAUUGGGAGGAAGAUGGCUAGGACCAUUAUCGUCAAACUUCUGGGUAGGAAAAUUGGUUUUAAUGCUGUACUUAAUAAGGUGACGACUUUAUGGAGUCUUAGACAACCUUUACAACUUAAGGACUUAGAGAAUGACUACUACUUAGUUUGGUUCCAAGAUGAAGGAGAUUUUAAUAACGUGUUGGUCGGAGGACCAUGGUUAAUCUUUGGUCAAUAUUUGACUGUGAAUCCUUGGUCACCGGAGUUUUCGAUUUCGUAUAAUGAAGUGGAUAUCCAAAUGGUGUGGAUAAGGCUAUGGGGUUUGCCAGAAAGCUAUUACUCAAAAUGCUUGAUUUGUGCUAUUGGACAAGCUAUAGGACCAGUGGCUAAACUUGAUACUCACCUGGAUAGUGGAAGGCGGGGAGGUUUUACUCGAUUGGCAGUAUGUGUGGAUUUAAAGAAAGUAUUGGUGUUGAAAGUCAAGAUCAAUGGUCAUAUACAACGAAUUGAGUAUGAAUAUUUUCCAAAUUGUAUGUUUCAAUUAUGGGCUUCAUGGCCAUAAUUUUGAUCUAUGCUCAGAGAGCAAGAAUAAGGCAUUGAAUACUGGUGUUAAUGGGGAAGAAACGAUGGUUGAAAACAUGGGUAUUCAGCGGCGUGUGGAAAAGGAAAACUAUAGGCCAUGGAUGCUUGUGGAACGAUGAAAAAGAGGAAGGGUAUGUAAUGUAGAAAUAGUGAGGGACGACGACUCCGACAAUGGAUUGGGGGUUCACAAUUUUUAGUUUUUGCAGCGGACUCGGGCGUUAAUGAUCCUGUAAUCAGGGCCAUGGAUGGGGGAAUCAGGUAAGUAAAAUCAAAAGACGUGAUUUAGGGAAGAAUUUUAAUGGAAAAUUUGAAGAAUUUGUACAAAACACGUUUGGUUUGCUGUAUUGGAUUAGAGGUGUAAUGGAAUAGAGGUGUAAUAGCAAAUCAACUGUUUGGUUGAAUGUAAUGGAAUAGAGGCGUAAUAGUAAUCUUGUGUUUGGUUGAAUGGAAUAGAAGUGUAAUAGCAUAAUGGAAAAAACUAAAAUGACUAGAAUACCCUUAGCAUAAAUUUGUUUUGGUAAAUGAUUAUUGUUAUUGUUAUUUAAAAUUUAAUAAGAUUAUUAUUAUCAAUAAUAAAUAAUUUAAUCAUAUUUAAACAUAAUUAUUAUUAAAUAUAUUUUAAUUAAAAUAUAUAAUUUAAUAAAAUUCUUAAUAAUCAAUAUUCUUAUAUGAAUUUACUCAAAUCAUAAUAUAUGAUACUAUAAAAUAUAAUUUAACAUAAUUAUUAUUAAAUAUAUUUUAAUUAAAAUAUAUGAUUUAAUAAAAUUCUUAAUAUUAAAUAUUCUUAUAUGAAUUUACUAAAAUUAUAAUAUAUAAUAGUAUAAAAUAUAAUAUAACAUAAUUAUUAUUAAAUAUAAUCAAAUUUUUUGGCAUUUAAACCAUUCUCUCUUACUAAACCUGAUUUCACCACGAAUUUGUCAAACUCUUUGUUUCAUCUGAGGCAAAUUAUAGGUUUAAUUUUUGUCCUUUUUCUCUUCAAUUCUGAGGAGGAAUCUCACAUUUUUUUCUUCAAUUUUAUUAUGAUGAAAAUUUAAUAAAUAAAUUUGAUGAAUUUUAUUAGAUUUGGAAAAUGGUGCUUUAAACAAUUAAAUGAUACACUUUUAGACUCCACAAAUAGAGUCAAAAGAUUGACAAGUGUUCUAUAGAGGUAUAGUAAAAUAUUAACCUAGUAAGAUUAAAAAAAGAAAAAAUGUGAAAUUGCUUUCUGGUAGAAUCUAAAUAGAAUUGAAGAAGAAAUAAAAGGGAAAUGUUACAGACUAAAUUAACCAAAAUGGUAAAGAUUGAGGGCUGUAUCUAUGGUUAUACAAUAAUAUAGGGAUUGUGCUUAAAAUUUACGCCAUAUGUUAAUAGGCCUUAAAACGUUUGAGAUAAUAUCCAAAAUCUUGUCCCUAUAAAACUGGGUGAUGAUGUUACACUAACCAUGCUGGCUUUUAGAGACCCGGGUGCUAAUACCUAUCAAAAUUCACUCAGUCCCAUAUACAUAUAUAUAACACACUCCAUCUAAUCCAAUUUUACCUCAUAUACAAACACUUUUGUCUCUCAAGUCUCUACAGUCUCGUUUUUCACUUACUUCCUUUGGAUCGCUGCUUCCGAGUUGUUUUCAAACCAUUCAAACCUUUUUUUAUUGGCUUCAUAUCACCAUUGCUUAAUUGGUAGUCAAAUGUUUUAACAUUCCUAACAAUUGCAUGAACUAUGGUCUCACUUUUCGGGACUAAUACGGUUUUCCUCUCCACCACCGCAUUCUGCCCGCAUUUCGAAUCAUCCUUUUCCAUCAGAGACUAGAAGCACCAAGAACAGUAUAUUUUAGCAGAACAGGGAACAUAUCAUGGCAAAACUAGAAAAAAAACAACGGAAAAAUUUGAGUUUUAACUCAAUUGGUUCAUGCAAUUACCUUUAAAAAUUGACAUCUUUGCUUCCUGUGUUCAGUCAAUGGAGUUUUAGGAUCCGCAGAAGUAUUCUUGGUUUUGUUAUCAACAACAGCUAGGAUCUGUCUUGCAAAUUGAUUUGCUUGAAGCAUUUCACCCACUGUUUCCCCUACUAACAUUGCUGGUAAUGACAUUCUCCUACAUUCACCUGCAUCAAAAAGGUUGGAUAAAUCCAAUUAUUUGCCAUCUUAGCUUGCUCAACGAAGUUGAACUUUGAAAAAGAUCAUUUCAUAAAAAAUUAGCUUAUAAAGGAAAGCUAGUUUAAUUGGGUUUAGGGUAUAUAUGUAUCUAACCACACUCAAGUGCAAGAGAGUACAAGAGGUAGACAAAUAUGGCAUUCUAAAAGUUACCUUGUAGUGGAUAUUUAUAUAGGAAAUUCAAAAUGAAUGAUAAAUUCAAGAAACAAUGCUCAAGAGAGGGACAGGACUUGCUUGUGGACUAAUAUAAAAAAGAUAAUUUAGAUUAAAAUAUCAUAUCUAUAGUGGACUAACUACUGCAGUAGAAAUUAGGGGUGUAAUUGAGUUGAGCCGAGCUCCAAUAUUGAUAAGUUUGAGUUUAAAUUCGACUUGAAAUUCGAAACUUGAUACUUGAUACUUGAUUUCCACAUAUGCUAAUUUUCAAUCAAACCCCAGUACUAGGGGACUGCUUCAACGAGACAAGGAUGUAGAAAAUGAACAUUAGCAUAUGUACAAAUGUAAUACGAAAAUGGACUUUGGUCUCCCCUGCAACAACUCUUUUUUUUAAGUAACAUCAACGAAUGAGCAUCAAGGUGGUUUUUUUUCAUAAGAAAAUGUAAUUAGAAGGGAGAAGAGAUUUACAAAUACAAAUAUUAAACCUCAUAUCAUCAAUUUGAAACCUACAGAUUGGCAUUAGCAUAUUUUUGGAUUAUCCUUGGACUUGCAGAAAAUAAUUGAUAAAUUCCCCCAAGGUGGAUGUAAUUUGACAAAUUUAUAAAGGGAUACCCUCAGUUCCUGGUUCUCAUCUUUCUUUGCUAAAUACAUACAAGUUGAGGCAUUCAUUAUAUAAAUUGAUGAUCCAAGUAGUCUAGUUUUUCAUUUGAAUACAAUACAGUAGCUGUAUGUAUGCAUGUGUGUUGUGUAAGCGCAUAGAUUGAAAUAUAGCACAACAUUAGGUCUUAAUAAACCACUCCCAUUUUAGGUGGAACUGUGUAGACCUCUACCGCACUCGUUGCCCAGCAUUUAGUCAGAAGAUGUUCUCUAUUCUUUUAUCCCUUUAUUCUACUCCUUUUUAAAGGUGGUUUUUUUUUCAUAAGAAAAUGUAAUUAGAAGGGAGAAGAGAUUUACAAAUACAAAUAUUAAACCUCAUAUCAGCAAAUACAGAUUCGAAGGUUAGGGCAGACAAGGUUAGGGAGAAGAGAUUCAAUUUCUACAAAUGUUGAAUCUUUCGUCAUAAAAAAACAUAAAAGGGAAAACAUGUUGAAAGAAUGUUAGGGCAGACAAUGUUUACCUUGAUUGAAUUGGGAUUCAUUGCAUUUGAAGUCACUGCAUUUGGAGAUAAUUGGCAGACAAUGUCAAAAGACUUCCCUACUCACUGCAUUUGAAGAAAACAAAAAAAAUAAAGAAACAAUAUUUCAAGAACAGAUCAUUAAAUUCAUGGUAUAUAUAAAGAAAUUUAAUUGAAAUCAAAGGAAUAGAAGAAGGGAGAAGCGUACUUGGGAACCAUUGCUGCUACUCUCUGUUACUCUGUUACCUCAUACGAUUUGUAAUUGAAGGCCUUGUUGAGGGUUGUUAGGGUUUGUUAAAGGGUUGGUCAGGAUAGAAGCAUGAAAAGGAGGGAGAAGGUUGGAAGGAAAUGGAAAGAAAAAUGAAAAAAAGAAGAAGAUGCUUCAGACGUGAGAAAGAAAUGAGAAAUGAGAAAGAAAUGAGAAGACGGCUGGGGAGGGUAAAAUAGACUCUGAUUAGCUAAUCCUUACUUUUGGAAGGUAUUAGAAAUUAGCGUUGAAGCAGAGAAAAUAAGGAAUACCUCCGUAAUGUAAUAAGCCCGUAUUAGGGCAAUACAUUGAACCAAACAAGGGAUUAAGUGGGUCCACGGAAUAGGGGUGUAAUGGCUAAUUCAUUACACCCAAUCAAACAUGGUGUAAAUGAUAUAUAAAUAAUAAAUUAUAUGUUUAUGAUGUUAGUGUGCAUAUAAAUUAAAAUGGAGUCGUGUUAAAUGGUGUUAAAUGGAUGUUUAACAAAAAUUUUAAAAAGUUAAACUAUAAUUAUAAUUAUAAUUGCAAUUGUAAUUUAAGUAAUAAAUGGUAUAAGAAAUCACCAAGUUUUCAUCAAAAUGACUUUAAUUAUAGUUCCUAACCCUUUGUCUGACUUACGACGAUUGCUUUUGCUUUGUAAUAGUAAGUAAAAGACAAGAUCCAAGAUGAAAAAGAAUAUUGGACCUAGCUAUCUUUGAUGCAUUGGCAAUCUAGCUAGUAGGGGAACUGGAUCCAUCCUUCUACUUGGCAGGGCAGGCGUAAAAAUAGACAAACAUAUUGAAUUCAUAUACCACUUAUCUCUUUCUUUUUCAGUCCUCUAGCUAGUCUUCUACCAUUAUAUUUGUUCCUUCCCAUUUAAUUCAUCUCUCAAUUAAAUUUAUCAUGCUCUGUAUGUUACUUACAUCACAUGCCUAGUAAUAUUUCAAUUUAUUGGUUCCUUAUUGUAACAUAUACAUAUUCACUCUUAAUUGCAUUUUUAAUAUUCUUUAAUUUCACUCCACAAUUAAUUUAUAUGCGUUUAAUAAUCAAUUAUUUAAUUUGUGUGUAUAUAAAUAUUCUACUCAUUUGAUAUGUGAAUCAGCAGAAAAUUGAAGAAAUUUUUUUUUCUCCUUCUCGUUCUCAUGCGAAGGUCUGGGUCCAUCAACGCAAGAUAUCAAUUCAUGAAUAUAAGAAGUUGGUAAAAAGUUGAUAAGAAGCUGAUAAGUGAUUAGUGUUUUGUCAAACAAGAAUAUUUUUUUUAUCCAUUGUCAGACAAGAAAUUAAAUUUCAAACAGGCUUUACCUAAGCAAGCUAUCCUCGCAAGUCAUGUCUAAAAAUCCCCCACACAUUUAAACAGAAACUAUAGGUGUCAUGUGUGUGAUCUAAUAUUAUAAAACAUUCUAUAGAUUUCCUAGCAAAUCUUAGUUAGCCCCUUCUCUUUCCAUGUUCCUCCUCUUGCUCCUUCCCUUCGUCAUUUAAACCGUAUGUCUCUCUCUCAAAACGGAGAGAAAACAGAUCGAAAGAUGAUGGAGAGAAGAAACAUGGGAGGAAGGAAUAUUGCUGUAGCAACACUCUCCAUGAUAUUGGGUUUGUUCCUAAUCCAUGUUUCUGGCGAUAAUUCACGAGUGGGAAAGUUUUCUGCUUCUCCUUACCACGACCAAAUGCGCCAAUUGCAAGCGUUUAAGGCUUCUCUUAUUGGUCGACAAUCCGUUUCAGUUUCACCUAUCUCGCCCUCUUCUUCAUCAUCCUCUUCUUCGCCACUGCAGGUAAAUAAUUUCUUGUGCAUCUAAUUUCUAACAUUUCCUCAAUGGCGGAACGAUGUUAAUUAAUUAAAUUAAUGCAAUGUAAUUGAGAAUGGAUUUGGAUAUAUAGGAAGCCAUAGGUCCACGUGUGUAUCAUGUAACAAAUUAUGGAGCAGACCCAACGGGGAAAUCAGACAGCACAGAAGCACUAAACAAGGCAAUCGCGGAUGCAUUUCAGGUUCCUAGUGAAGGGUUCUUGAUGGAGGGGAUCACUAAUCUUGGAGGGCCACAAAUUAAUCUUGAAGGUGGGAACUACCUUAUCAGUAAACCAUUGCAGUUAGUUGCUGCCGGUGCAGGAAAUCUUAUGGUAUGCGCAACCAAACAUUUUUAAUCAAUUGAAAUUAUCUUUUAUACUAGCUAAUUGAUGUCAUGUCAUAAUCUUUCUUUAUAAAGUAGAACAAUAUAUAUACUUGUAUUUAUAUUGGCUCAUCAUCUACCUACUUAAUUACCGUUUCUAUGCUAGCAGUACCACACAUACACACAUAUAAGCAUCUGGUGUUUUUGGUGAAUGAAACCCACCUGGUUGGAUGACUUAUGUCGUCCCUGAGAAAAUUGCAGAUAGAUUUCUAUAUGUUAAUGUUUCGGCACUUAACUCUCAAAGCAAAGCAAUCGGUCUUUUCUAGGAUAGAAAAAAUGGUAAUAAUAAUAGCUAGUAGGAUAUGUGCAUGUUUGGAAUUGAUGAUAACAUAUUUGUUGAAGACUGAAAUGACGACCUUUUUUAUCAUAUGAAAAUGAGAUGAUGUGCACCUAAUUCCAAUUGGUUAAACUGGCACAGACUGUAUAUAAUAUAAUAUAGUAUGUACAUUUUGCAACAUUGUAGACCUGCUCACCAUACUGAAUUCCAAUGAGCAAUCGUUGGAGAAGAGAGAGUCUGGGUCUAGAUUCUGUAAUUGACGUAAUAUAACAUAUAUGUUAAUGUUUCGGCACUUAACUCUCAAAGCAAAGCAAUCGGUCUUUUCUAGGAUAGAAAAAAUGGUAAUAAUAAUAGCUAGUAGGAUAUGUGCAUGUUUGGAAUUGAUGAUAACAUAUUUGUUGAAGACUGAAAUGACGACCUUUUUUAUCAUAUGAAAAUGAGAUGAUGUGCACCUAAUUCCAAUUGGUUAAACUGGCACAGACUGUAUAUAAUAUAAUAUAGUAUGUACAUUUUGCAACAUUGUAGACCUGCUCACCAUACUGAAUUCCAAUGAGCAAUCGUUGGAGAAGAGAGAGUCUGGGUCUAGAUUCUGUAAUUGACGUAAUAUAACAUAUAUAAAAUUUACGUAUGUUGAGGUUUCAUUAAUUAACAACGUCGAGUUAUUUUUUUUCUUUUUUGGUAUCUAACAACGUCAGAUUAAUUAAUGAAGCAUAUAAACUAUAUCACCAAAUAAAACUUUGUUUGAAUUUGCUGAGUUGGGUAUUUCUUUAUUUAAAUUAUAUAUGGAGCAGAUCCACGGAGGGACACUACGAGCCUCAGAUGAUUUUCCGGUUGAUGGGUAUCUUAUUGAUUUGUCUCCAAAUUCAUGGGCUAGCAGAACUGAACAAGAAAUAAGAAAAGGGAGCUCCUUGAAAUUGAAUUCACAGCUUACCUCAUCAUCGUCAUCCUAUAACUACGAGUACAUAACCCUCAGAGACCUGAUGUUGGAUUCUAAUUACAGAGGUGGUGGCAUUUCAGUUAUAAACUCACUAAGGACUAGCAUUGACAAUUGCUAGAUUGCCCAUUUCUCCACUAAUGGAAUUUUAGUCCAAGGCGGGCACGAGACCUAUAUCAGGAAUUCUUUCCUUGGGCAACAUAUCACGGCCGGUGGUGAUGCAGGCGAAAGGAACUAUACCGGCACUGCAAUUAACCUAAUGGGAAACGAUAAUGCAGUGACGGAUGUGGUGAUUUUUUCAGCUGCCAUAGGAAUAAUGGCCUCAGGUCAAGCCAACACUUUUUCUGGGGUGCAUUGUUACAACAAGGCAACAGGUUUUGGUGGCACGGGGAUUUACUUGAAGCUGCCUGGUCUUACACAAACCCGGAUAGUGAAUUCAUACCUAGAUUACACUGGGAUUGUGGCUGAAGACCCAGUGCAACUUCAUAUCUCUAGCAGUUUUUUCCUCGGUGAUGCAUUUAUCCUCUUGAAAUCAAUAAAUGGGGUAGCAAAUGGAGUGACUGUAGUGGAUAACAUGUUCAGUGGAUCUAAUAAGGGGGUUGAUAUAAUCCAGUUAGAGGGUCCUUUCACAGAAAUUGAUCAGGUUGUAGUUGAUAGGAAUAGUGCCAAGGGGAUGAACAUUAAAGCAACAGUUGCAAGAGGGUCUGUUGAAGGGAAUAGCAGCUCCAGGACGGUUGAUUUUAAUCCUGUUCUUUUAUUUCCUAACCUGAUUAAGCAUGUUCAGUAUUCACUAAGAUCAAGCAGGGGCAGCUCAUUUCCUAGCCAUGCCCUGAGAAAUGUGUCUGAAAAUCAAGUUGUGAUUGAGUCUGAUCUCGCUAUGCCCGCAAAUGUUUUCGUCACGGUGGAUCAAGCUUAAGCACCAUGACCUGACUUAUUAUUAUUAUUAUCAACAUCAUCAUCUGAUGGAGAGUUAAGAUCCUUUGACAAUUGUGAACAUGGGGUGAAAUACUAGUAUUGGCUUUUUCUUUGAAAGUUCAACUCAAAUUAAACAUAUAUCGGCUAAAAGGAUAGAUUUCCAGAAGAUACAAAAUUGACAAGAAGGAAUUGAAUGAAUAAAAGCUUUCCUUCACCCAUUUACAGCCAAUUUCAGCGCCAACAAGAAAUAAAAACCCAAAUUAAUUCCAAAAUAUAAAAGUCCCAAAACAAAGUCCAUUUUACAAAAAAAAAAAGAAAAAAAACAGCAAGCCCAAUAUCCACAUUGAACAGCCCAAACCCAAUUAUAAUGACCCAAAUAAUACAAAACCCUAAAGCCGACCUAGCCCAACAAACUAAACAUUUUCAGCAGCAAAAAAAACUCAGCCCCCAAGCCUCAGCCGCACACCAGGCCAACCAGUGGCCGCCUCGCACACCACCACGCAUGCCACCUCGGCCACCACGCCCCUGACCGUCGCCCCUUCCACGCGUCGCAUGGCACCUGCAACAAGAACAAACACGACAUCAAAAGAAAGCAUGCGAAUGACAAGAAGAAAUAAAAAAAAGGAACAAAAACAAAAAAAGAAACGAAUGUGUUGGGGGAGAUCGGCUUUAAAAAGUAAAAAUCGAUCAUUUGUAAAAGGGGGAGAGGGCACGUACAUUUUGAAUCAAAGAAGAGAACAAAUAUCUAAGGUUGAUCUCGAUAUACUUUUUCGCGUUCUAUUCAUUACUUUGUUUUUACUGAUAUUUGAAUACAAACUCAUUUAAAAGAAAAGGAGGCAGACAUAAGAUCAAUUAAAAAGAAAAAGAAAGAAGGCCUCACCGGGAUUGUCUGAAGUUUCGUCACCGGGGUUCUUCUUCCGUUGUCGGGGUUGAACCGAAUGGGGGAAGACCGAGAAGGCGUAGCCUUCGGGGACGCCUUGAAAAGGGGCUAAAUGACCUCACCCAUUCGCGUCGUCGACCAUCGCUUGUGGUGUUGCCGUGGUAAUAGCGGCGAUGAUAGGUUUCCUAACCUUAGCCAAAGGAGAAAAAUAGGAAAGGGAGAAGGAGAGGGGGCAAAGGCCCUCUGUUUUCCUCUUUUUUUUUUUAAAUAUAAGCUGAAAUAAAAAAAAAAAAAGAAAAAAAAAAUGGCUUAAAUGGCCAUAGAAACGGCAGCAUUAUUUUCAAGGCUAAAGUGGGUCAUUUUCACUAUGGGUCCUUCCGCAUUUUUAAAUGUUUUAAAUUCAUUCAUUCUUAUUUUUAAUUUAUUCCUUUAAUUUUGUCUCUAUUCCAUUUCGGUCCAUCUGAUAGUCAUGGGCAUGUGGAAUAUUGUCCUAUUCAGGCCCUGUCCUUUUAGCGCGCCUUACUUUGGGCCUUAUUUCUUUUAAUCAUGUGCAAUUUAUACUCCAUAUUUUAUUUCGAUUUUAUUUUCAUCCUUGGUCAGAUUAAUUCUUGUUUCAUUUUACUUUAUUUUUAGUCUUAAUUUUUUUUUAAAAAAAAAAGAAGGGUUGUAUUAUUUUUUUUUAUGUCUGUUUCAUCUCAUUUGUAAAAUCGAAUCUACACUAAAUUUUUUAUAUUUUAUAUUUACUUAAUUAUUUAUCUUUUAUAGUUCGUUUUUAUAGGUAUCCUUUUAUAAAUGUUUUUUAUAUGCAUACUCUUAUUCCAUUUAUCUAUUAUUUAGCUAGUUACUUGUUUAUUAUUAUUAUAUAGGUUCUUUUAAAAUAUAAUUGUUUAUAAUCUCUUAUUUAGUCCAAAAUUUACUAUUAUCAUUAUUAUAUUCUUCAUUGUCACUUUUUUUUCUCUGACACUUUCACGUUUGUCAUUUUUUAUAUAUUAUGCAUGUUCUAUUUUCUAUCUUUUUUCUCUUCAUAUUAUUAUUUACAUUGUUGUGGUUAUUAUUAUUCCUAAUUCUAUCAUUAUUCGCGCAUUGUCAUCAUGUUUCAUUUUCAUUAUUAUUAUUAUUAUUAUUAUUAUUAUUAUUUUCUACUUUAUUAUUAUCAUAAUAUCAUUACUAUUGCUAUCAUCGCAUUAUUAAACUAAUUAAUCAUAUAUUGAUUUUGUUAUAUAUUUUCUUUUUGUAUUUAUUUACAACAUUAUUACUAUUAUUAUUAUUUCUAUUUUUUUAACAUAUCGUGGUUUUUAAAUUAUUAUCAAUCUUAAAUAUUUUAUAAAUGUUAUUUCUCUUAAAAUAUUACAUGUAUUAUUUUGAAAUUCUUAUGUACAUAUUUGUGUUCUAAAAUAAUAUAUGUAUAUGUACGUAUCAUUUUUGCAUUCUUAUAUAUUUAAUUAGUAUUAUCAUUUCAUAUGAUAACUGUGUUAAUUUCUUCUUAUUAUUUAUCAUAAAUUUUUCUACUACCAUUAAUUCUAAAAAUUUCAUAUGUUAAACUUUUGUACAUAUCUUCUAUGUGUUAAUUAUUUUAAAUGAUUUGUUUUACAAUAUUAUUCAUUCUAAACUUUUAUAUGCAGUUUUAAAUUUUAUUUUAUUUUUGAAUUAUUAUUUUAAGCUAUUCUAUUUAUAUUAUUUCGUUAUUUUGUAGCUUAAUUGUUUACUGUCAUUCACUUUAGGUUAUUUUUCGUAGUGUCUAUUUCAAGCUCGUUUUUCCUACAUGUUAUUCAUCUAGAAUCGUCUUAUUGCUUAUUUUUAAUUGUUCGUAUUAUUCGUUUCAUUUAUCUUUAAUUAUUAAUAUUCAAAUAAUGUACGUCGAGUGAUAAUUGUCAUUGUGUGUACUAUAAUUUGUUCACUUAUUUUCAUACUAUUGUCACUCAUUUGUAUAGUAUGGUACCCAUGCAUACUAUUCCAUGAAUAUUACUAUAUUAUUAUUUCGUGUCAUCACGUCGUGUGUUAAGCUUCAACAUACUUAUCCAAUACGAAUCAUUUUACCUUAUUCCAAACAAAAUAAAUACACAUCGUUUUAAAUUUCAUACUUGCUAUCACGUCAUAAAAAGAAAUUCUCUAAGGUAAAGCAAUAUUCCGUAUUUGGAAAUUUGAGAAAUCGUGCCCUACGUGUUGGGUUUCAAUUUAUCAUUUGACCAAAUAAAUUGGAUAUCCUUUUAAAAUUUCAAUGCAUGAGUUUUGGAAAUCAUGAGAUGAUUUUGGGCAUCGAAGGUUGGAAAUGUCGUGUCCUACGUGUUGGAUGUGAUAUUUUACUCCUUCGAAACAAGAGAAUCUUAAUAUCUACUUCAAGUUAGCUAAACAUUCAUAAAAAAGGGAUCAUAUUUCCAAAUUUGUUUUAAAUCUUUUCAAUUUUCGAUAUUAAGACAUUAAUUAAUUAAUUAGGUACCAAUUUUGGGCGUUACGAGGGUGCAAAUUUCAAUGCAUGAGAUUUGGAAAUCAUGAGAUGAUUUUGGGCAUCGAAGGUUGGAAAUGUCGUGUCCUACGUGUUGGAUGUGAUAUUUUACUCCUUCGAAACAAGAGAAUCUUAAUAUCCACUUCAAGUUAGCUAAACAUUCAUAAAAACGGAUCGUAUUUCUAAAUUUGUUUUAAAUCUUUUCAAUUUUCGAUAUUAAGACAUUAAUUAAUCAAUUAGGUACCAAUUUUGGGCGUUACGAAGGUGCUAAUCCUUCCUCGUACGUAACCGACUCCCGAACACGUUUUCUCAAAUUUUGUAGGCCAAAAUGUCGUUUUAGUAAACUAAAAUGUUUUAUUAAAACAAGGGUGAUCCGAUCACACCUAAUAAAAGUCGGUGGCGACUCCCGUUUUAAUUUUCACUUUCAAAACCAAAAUUGAUCCCCAUUUUUUUUUUCAAAAAAAUGGUUUCUGACAUACUCCAUUUACACCACUAAUAGAGAAUCCGUCUAGAGAUCUAAUAGUGGACAUCAAUGGGCACAAGCUUUGCAUGUAGUGGCAAGGGAAUGUUGAGUGAUGUUGUUUUGUGCUGCACAUGCAUCAACAGUCACAUCCAUUAUGACUAGUUGAAAAUAGUUGUUGAAGUCCCUUUUUAGUUGAAAGGGAUAACGAUGAAGUAAAUGAAAAAAAAUAAAAUAAAGAUACCCAAAACACUAUUUUUCCUUAAGUUUCAAAUUCUUAAACUAUUUUCAAAAUGUUUUUUUAAUAAAUAAUAUAAAAAACUAUUUAAAUUCUCUCCCUCUUUAUUCUCUCUUUGAAAAAAAUACAUACAUUUUGCAAACAUUUUGACAAUGUUAGACUUUACACUUAAGAAGAUAGACUAUGAGCUGAAAGAGGUUAACAAAAUGAUUUAAUCUUCAUUUCGAUGAGUGGUGAAUUUGGUUCCGAUGAGGUGAAAAACUACGGUGGCAAUAAAAAAUGAUGGGAUUGAAUAUUAUAACGAUAAAAUAGGAAUCAAUGAUGAAGUGUGUAUUUAGAUUCAAAUGAAACUAUAACGAUAAUUUGAGAAUAAAAAUCACUAUUAAUGAUAUUACAUUAAAAAUUAAAUAUAAUAGAAUGUUUAAAUUAUUUUAAAUUUAUAAAUUUAUUAAAAACAUGUUAAAAAUUGUAAUUUUAUUUAAUAAAUAAUAUGUAUCACAAUAUUCUUAAAAAUAUUUUAAUUAAUUGUUUUGCAAACACUUUAAAUUAUUUAUUAUAUUAAAUAAUAAAUUAUAUAUAAUUAUUUUAAUAGUUAACCAUUCUUUAUAAAAAUGCUAAGUAUUAUUUCAAUAAAUAAAAACAUUAUUUUUUGAGGGAAUAAAAAAAAGCACUACUUAAAUCAUAUUGAGUAUUAAAAUACACUAAGAGAAUUUGAUAUUAAAUAAAAAAAAUUAACAUUAAAAACUUAGUUGGGAUUGUUUGUGUUCUAUUGGGUAUGAUUUGCACAUGGAUUUUGAUUGGAAGUCUUAGGUAGACCUAUGGUAUCUUUACAUAUCAGUUGAAUAGGAAGUUUGUGUGAUUAUUGAUAUAUUCAUGUGGCGAAAAUACUCGAAUUUUGGUUAAAGACAUAAUUAUAUUCAUUUGUGUUACUUAGCCUUACAUGAAGGGAAAUUAAGUUGUAAUCUUUUAAGUGAAUAGGUUCUAGUCACAACCCUUUGAUUAACAUAAUUUUGAUUUGCUUAUUGGUUGAUGGUUUUUAUGACUAUGUCAUAAUCAAUUUCUUCUUCAUUGAUUAACAUAAUUUUUUUUUGUUUUUAGUUUUGGGUUAGCUUAUAGAAUUUAAAGAUUGUCUUUGACCAAUUGUUUGAUAAAUAUUACCUUAUACAAGUGUUAUUUGAUUUUUUUUUUAAUAUUGUCAUAGUGCAUAAAUGUUGAGGGUUAAAUAAUUUAAAAUUAAAAACAAAUUGACAUGAUAUAUAUUCCACUUAUAAUAUUAUUUAAUUAAUUUCAUACAAUUAAUAUAAAAUAAAAUAGUUUAUGUAAUAUUUUAAUUUAUUUAUAAAAUUUUAAAAUUUUAAAAUUAAGAUUAAAUUGUCAUACGAUAUAAAUAUUGAAGGUUAAAUAUUUUAGAAUUAAAAGCAAAUUUAACAUUAUAUAUAUACCAAUUAAAAAAACCACGUCUUCAUGUGAACAAAAUAUAUACCAAAAAUUUCAUUAACCUUAUAAAUUAUUAAAAAAUAUUGAGGAUGAGGUGUCUUUUUAAUUGAAAUGGGCUUUUCUUAUAAUAAAUCCAACAAGCCAACUCUAGGCCAUUGACGACUUUAAUCCAACAAACCAAAUGAAGCUUCUCUCUCCUUUGUUUUAGGGUUUAUGAAUAACCUCGAUUUCAAUCUCUUUUUUCCUGAUAUAUCUCCGGCAAUAAAACACCGUUAUUUCAUUCCAUCUUCGUUUGUUUCUUUUAAAAAAAUAUAUUAUAAAUUAUUUUUAUAUUUAUCAAAUGCGGAUAUUUAAUGGACUCGGAUAUUGGAUUGAUAUCUUAUUCAUAUCUAUUAAAAAUUUCACAUCUACUAAAAAAUCUUUAAAUAUCUUUGAAUAAUAAAUCUCGGAUAGUGAAUAAUAAAUCACUCGGAAAUGUUUCAUCUUUUCCCACUUUCAUUUCAUUUAUUUUACUUUAAUUAAUUUUUUUAUUCAUUAUUAUAAUGUAUAUAUAUUAAAGUCAAUUUAAUAUAUAACACAUAUAUCUAUAUAUAUAAUAUACAUAUCAUUAAUGAUUUUCCACUACAACUAAAAUGUGGGUUGCGGAAACUAGUUCCGUUAACUAUGUUCAUUACUAACAGUAUUUGCCCUAAUAUUCUCCAAAGAACCACAGGCAGCAAAGACAACGCAUGUUUCAUGCAUCCUUGGUGACUAUUUAAGGGUAAAAAAAAGGAUGAAACACAUGCAAAAAUACGUCUCACCCUUUCACAUAGCCAAAAACUAAAGAUGAAGAUGAGACGUGGCAGGAAUCAUAUUAAAAGCAAAAUAACAGUUUAUUCAACUGCAAAUUCAAGAGGUUCGCUAAAAGAGGGGGGGAAGCUGCUAGACAAAAUAAAAACCAGGGUCACAGCAUCCCAUUCAUGCACACAUACAUAAUACAUAAUAUGCAUAAUUAUAGGUACCAACUUUUCCAUAAUUGUAGUACAUGUUACCAUCACAAUCUAAACAUUAAAUUCAACACACCAUUAGUUUAUUAUUGCAAUGAACUCUGUAACAAAACAAAAGAAUCUCAAGGGGACCAUCCCUGUUGAUCUUUUGCUCUAAUCCUGCAAGUAAAAUAUAAUUAAAUACAGGUUUAGACAAUCAAAAUUUGCAUAAACCUGACUAGUGACUACUGAUUAAAAAAGAGAGGCACUAGACACAUCCACUCUGAAUCUCUGAUAUUCAUUUAGAGGACAAUGAUAUAUGGAUAUGUUACACUUAGAAGGGCAUGCUUUUCAUGAGUGGCUCUUACCAAUUUUAACCAGGAACUCUUCCUCUUACUGAUUUUCAAUACAUUUUAAUAUCCAAUUAGAACUUUCUCAGUCAUCAACAAUCUCAAAAAUUUACAACGCUUGUUUGGUUUGUUAUAUAUGCUAUUUGCUCCUAAAAGGCGCUAAAGUAAAAAUCAAAUGAUAAAAGCAAAAUCAUAAUUAUUUAAAAAUAAACAAAUACUUGUUAGACAACACAAUUCUAACAUGAUCAAUUUACAGUAAAGUAAAUCAUGUAUCUCGUUCUAAAGAAACUUACAUUUGAACUAUUAGUUCUUCAUAAACAUAGCUUGCUUUUACAUUCAAACAUGCUUCUUACUUUUUGCUUUUCAAAGAAAUAUGACAAGCAAAUAGCAAAGGGUAGAAUCCAAUUUGUUAGUUACUAAAGAAUCAUAAAGACCAUCCUCUUGUAUUUAAAAGAAGAAUCAAAUCGAACAUAAGAGUAACAUCCUAACCCAAAACAAGAAUGAAAUAAGGAAACAUAGGAUUCUAUUCGUAUGGCAAGUUUCAAACUUCAAAAAAGACAAGUCAGGAGUAAUUAACAUAUCUCAUCAUCAUCAUCAUCACCACCGUCUUCCCUAUUCUUCUUAAGGCGGGUUGUGCCACCCUCCUUGCUGAUGGGUAAUUUCAUUGCUCCAAAUGGAGUGUCAACGUUGAUGUGACCUUUCAUAGAGUAACCUGUUCCUUUUCCCCUAAUCAUGUCCCACAGAGCAGAUCCGAAAUCCUAGGCCUGAAGGAGAUAGGAAUCUCAAUGUAACUGAUUCCGUUUUUGUCUAUCUUUGCAGAUUUUUCAAGUUCUGCAGAUCCAAUGCUGACCUCAGAUAGCCAGACCUCAUAGUCAAGUGCAUUGAGUCCCAAGUCAAAAUCAUUCUUAUUUUCUAAUUUCAAAUGAAGAACUGCUAUAGUUUCCUCCCAAGAGAAUCUCUCAAAGUGUAUCUUCUCCAUAUCGAUAUCGGGCUUGUAAGGUAUAGGGAUCUCUCCAGUUUUCUCAAGAGGUAAAGUUAACCUCCCAAAAACAGGAACAUCAACAAUGAGAUCAACUUUCAGCCUAUAUGGAAUGAUGCUGCCAGGCUUAAUGUCAUCAUAUGUACUUUUGUUAUCAUCAUAUAUUAAAGUAACUGGUAUUUUGACAGUCUCCUCACCAUGAGCAUGGAUGGUUCCAGCAUCUGGAAUCAAGCCUGAAAUGAGUUUUCUACCAUCACUUUCAAUGAGGUAGUCAAUGUCGACGAGGGGAUUGGAACAGGGUUUGGGUUCUUUAUGAUGACAUCAACGACAAUUUCUGCUUUCUCAAGAUUGAUACAAGGGAGGUGAAUCUCAGCUACAUCUGCAGUAGGCUUGCCAAAGCCGAUUGUUUCCUCCAUCUUUUCACCAACGUCAUGAAUGGAACCCUUGACCUUGUCUAUAAAUCCACAAAUAUAAGCAGUGUUUCAUAAGGCUGAACACCAAAACGAAUAACAAAAACACAAUGAAAAAACUAAAAAAGAAGCAUAAAUCUGAAAACUAAAACAGAGAUGAAAACUUGUUCUAAAGAUGAAAACCACAAUACCCAAAGAUGAAAACCACAAUACCCACAGAAAUAAGAGAAGAUAAGCAUAGGUCUGAAACUAAAAAAGACGUCCCUUUCAACUAAUUCUGGCUUAUCAGAUGAUGACAUACCUUAAUAGCAAAGCUUCCAAGUAAUUAAUCAAAUAAAGUUAUUAGAAAAAUGUUCAAAACAUUUUUUUCUUUUGAUAAAAGAAACUACAGGAAGCCCUAAAUACUAAAUAAAUUAGUUAACAUAGAUCGCAAUCCUUCUACGACUGUCAAUUGAAGCAAGAUUUAAAACCAGAGGAUAUAUAUAUUGGUUAGCAUAUGUGUAUAAAGAGAGAAGCAGAAGCAGCCAAGCAAGGAACAGCCGAAAGGACUGGAAAAGAGAGUCUAUCUAAACACUAAACAUGGAGCCAGCCAGAACACAAAGGAAAGAUUGUGAUCUGAGACAUAAAAAUCAUCGAAGUGAAGAACAGCAGCCAAAACAUCCAGAUCCAGAUCCAGAUCAUCAUCAUUGUUUCAGACAUGACAAUUUCUCAUACUGUAACAAGUCAACAACGGCAAUAACAUUGUAACGAUCAAAAAGAAAAGGCCAUCUACUAGUUUGCUACUACCAUUCCUAAACUUAAAGGGUGACUGGUUUGAUCAUAACUUAAAUCACUCAUCUUCCGGUGGAGGGAUGAGGAUCCAACCCACCAUCUUUCGAAUAUUGAAAAUUUAAAUUAAAAAGUGGAAAAGAAAGAAGACAGAUAAUUUGUAGUGAGAUAUACCUGCAAGCAGCGUUUUUCUUAUUCUGAUCUUGUUAUAUGUUUUGUGAUAAGAAGAGAGCGGACACUGGCCAGCGGGAUUAUAUAAGAUUGGGGAAAUGAUAAUAGGUUAGAUCCAGAACAUUAGCAGCCAGGCAAGGACAGCGGCCUUAGAUCUGGUACUCUGACUGAAGCCUCAGGCCACUAAGAUAAACGUAAUACCAAUCAUAUUGCAAAUUUCAAUGUUUAAACGAAAAAUAGCUCCUUCUAUCCCUUUCCAGUAGAAGUUUUCAUAUAUAAGAAAUGAACAUUGCAUGGUACACCAACAUGGCUAUAUCAAGCCAGCAAAAAAAAAAAAAAACAAAAUGUAGCGGUACAAGAAAAUAGAUCCUUUGUGUUCAAAAGGUUUUCUUGCUUGCUUAAUCAAUAGAUUGUUCUGUUUCCUAAAAUAUGAUGGUAUUCACAGGGCAUUAGACAAGCUUAAAAAUGAUUCAGAUUUAGGUGGAAUAGAAAGGUAAAUGGUCAACCUUGCCAGGCAAAGAAUCAUAACCAAAGAUGCUGAACAGAUGGCUGAGCUAGACAAGCAGUCACAUCUCUUAAUAGAAAUUCUUGUAGUAUUAAAGAACACAAAAACAAUGUCUUUUGGUGUAAGAAUACACACGAACUAUCCAACUCUGACAAACUAGAGCAAAGUGGAUUACCAGCCGGUCAUCAUCAUUUUCAGCAUGGGUUAUUCCUAGCAAUCUCCAACCUUCAGCAUUCUCAGGAUUUUUCAUAACUUCAGCCUUUAGGGCAAGCACUGCUUCACUCAAAAGUCCUUUCCUCAAUAGCUCUUGACCUUCUUUUAAAGGAUUUUGAUGACCAACAUAUGGAUUCAUAUCAGAAAAUACAAAGACACCCCUUGAAGCGUCCGACCGCUGAGGAACCUACAAGUUUUCACAUCCAAAACAUUCAUGUAGAAUUAAGGGAGGUUAUAAAGUGAACUUCUUCAAGGCUACCAGACUUACUCAUCAUAUGAAUUUGCCCAGUUAUCAGACGAACUAUCUCCCAAAGCCCCCUCACCAACUUGACGACCAAAUUCUUCUGCCCAGUCAUCACAUGCAACUUUGAGCAUUCAUUGACCCAUUGAUCAUCGACAGACUCUUGUUGCAAUCAUUCAGCGCCAAAUUCAUUGGCCCAAUGGUCAGGUCCACGGAAAACCUAUUAACCAUCAAGUCAAGAACAUUUAAUGAAAUGAAGAAAAUUAGAAUAAUUCAAAUAAGAAUAAGAGCUUUGCACGGUUUAAGAGUCUCAAAAUAAUACAUAACAUGCAGAAUCAUUAGUUGCACUUUGUAUCCUGAAAAAACAAAUCAAAACACCCUAGUUGUUCUCAUACAGUAGCAGACUCCUCAGCCCAUUGAUCAGGUUGAAGAAAAUCAAAGAACCACCAACCAGAGUAGCAGAUUCUGUAUAAUAAGAACAUUUAUACAAAUUACAAUGUUUUUAGCUGGUUUAACACCAAACAGAGAUAUACAAUUACAAGAAUCAUCAGUGACAGUUUAUCUUCUAACUUAUUAUAAUCAAACAAUGUUUGAAUUUUGAAGGUCUCCAGGAAAAGAAAGGGGGAUUUGAUUAAGUUGUUGAUAUUAACACACCAUGAUGACAACACUUUAAUUUGCACGUAUGAGAAUGACAUUUCAUGAAACUAAGUUCUGAGUAGUGAUUAUCUCCACAAAACUCAUCGCGAAGCAACAUAUCAAGCAUGCAAAUGUAAAACAUGUUUCUUUGCGCAGGCUUUAAAAUCAUAAAGGCCCUCACUUGGUUAGAUAUAACCAAAAGCAUUUGUUUUUAAAAGAAAUGGUAGCUGUUAAAAGCCUUUAUGAAGGUUCUUAAUAAAAUGUUACUAGAUAUUGAAGCUCGUAACAUAGGCACAUAUGAAAAGGGAACAUGAAAGAGAUUCAAAUGUUAAAGCAGACUAUUCACUAGGAAAAUGAAACAUUAAAAGACGACUGUCCUAUUAAAUCUUCUAAAAAACUUCAAAUAAGCAUAUAUCUAAAGAUAAACAUCAAACACAUCUUUCGAAUUUUUAGAUCACCAGAAAACUUUCAGUUAAUGAACAAAGUACUUACUGGAUCUUCCCAGGUGAUUCUGGCUUGACAUUGGGGGUCACUGCAUUGUCAGUGGACUCUGGCUUUACACUAGUUGUUACAGCACUAUCGAUGGACCCUCAAUUCACACCGUGGAUUCCUGCAUUAUUCACAAACUUGCAUUAGUUUUUAAAUUUGGCCAUUUUGGAACCACAGAGUAAAUGCCAAUUUCAGCUAGAAAACAUAGGUAAAACCUUCUUAGCUCUCUUAUUUUCUGUUGACCUGAACUUGAGUGGAAAUAAACACUGAUUAAAUUCGCAGUGGGUUUCCAAUGAAAUAAAGCUCAGUAUGGAUUACUGAACAGACCAGAAAAGCAGUGUCAAUACUGCUGAUAUUACUGAAACAAAAACAGAAUUCCAAAUUUAUCAAACCGCACUUGUCCAAGGAAAGUGGCCUUAAAUAUAUAUCAACUGUAGAUUAAAUGAAAACAGCCAAGUGUUCAAGUAAUGAAAACUAUUCCCUGACCUUAAAUAUAUAUAAACUGUAGAUUAAAGGAAAUCGACCUCAUUUAACACUCAAGAUUAAAUUUAUCUUUACUUGUUAAACUUACCAGUAAACAGAGAGUAGGCUUCCCGUAACAUACCUAAAACUUGCUAGUCCAGAAAAUUAGAACAUAAC
rnacentral:lncRNA from 1 species